UGCUGUGGUGCACAUCUCCAGGCAGAACCAUUGAUAUCAUUGUCUAUGUGGAUAUUGCCCCUGGAACUAGGCAGUACACAGCCUGCACAACCACAUUUGAUGACCCUGAUUCAACAGUAUCUACUGGGAACGCUUGCAUUUUGAAAGAAGAUUCCAAUCAAGGAUGCGUCUUGACCUCAUUAGAUUUUUCACGUGGAAGGAAUUUCACAUGGAAGGCCCACACUGGAG